UGGGCUGACAUGGAUUCUCCUAG
rnacentral:siRNA from 1 species